rnacentral:misc_RNA from 1 species
AAGUCGUAACAAGGUUUCCGUAGGUGAACCUGCGGAAGGAUCAUUAACACAAUUUUACUGUGAUAAAUCCAUUGAAUUCUCGCGAAUUCGAUGGUAUCCACCCCAUUAUUGACGAACUUUUCUAGAUGUUAAAAACAUAGAGCUAGUCUCUUGGUUUUUAGCAUUCUAUACCUUUUUUCUUUACCCUAUAACAUUUUUUAACCCCUUUUACAACAUGCCUUAGACUGAAAUGAAAAUUUCUUUAUUAUCAAAAAUGAUAAAAAACAACUCUUAACAACGGAUAUCUUGGCUCUC